GACGAACGCUGGCGGCGUGCCUAAUACAUGCAAGUUGAGCGAUGAAGCUUGGUGCUUGCACCAAUUUGAAGAGCAGCGAACGGGUGAGUAACGCGUGGGGAAUCUGCCUUUGAGCGGGGGACAACAUUUGGAAACGAAUGCUAAUACCGCAUAACAACUUUAAACAUAAGUUUUAAGUUUGAAAGAUGCAAUUGCAUCACUCAAAGAUGAUCCCGCGUUGUAUUAGCUAGUUGGUGAGGUAAAGGCUCACCAAGGCGAUGAUACAUAGCCGACCUGAGAGGGGAGUCGCCCACGUUGGUCUUGAAACACGGCCCAACCUACUGGGGGAGGCAGCAGUAGGGAAUCUUCGGCGAUGGACGAAAUUCUGACCGAGCAACGCCGCGUGAGUGACGAAGGUUUUCGGAUCGUAAAACUCUGUUGGUAGAGAAGAACGUUGGUGAGAGUGGAAAGCUCAUCAAGUGACGGUAACUACCCAGAAAGGUACGGCUAACUACGUG
rnacentral:rRNA from 1 species